AGGCUUUGGCAGCACAUGUACUAAAAUUGGAAGGAUACAGAGAAGAUUACCAUGGCCCCUGUGCAAGGGUGACACUCAAAUUCGUGAAGCGUUUGAUAUUUUU
rnacentral:snRNA from 1 species